UCACCCGCUUAAAGGAACCGUGAGCUGGGUUUAGACCGUCGUGAGACAGGUUAGUUUUACCCUACUGAUGCAAGGUCGCACGCGAUCGAAACCGCCUUUACGGCGGCAGUCGUUACGAUAGUAAUCCUGCCCAGUACGAGAGGAACGGCAGGUUCGGACAUUUGGUUCGGCACUCGCCCCGAGCGGGCGUUGGUGCGAGGCUACCAUCCGUUGGAUUACGCCUGAACGCCUCUAAGGCCCGUAUCCACUCUGGAGAAAACAGCCGGGCCCGGCUUUCGGGCCGGUCUCGGGAAAACGAUCGUCCGUACGGCGGAGGAGAACCCAGUAUACAUCGGGAAGGCGUCAAAGCACGGACCUUCGGGUCCACGACGAGCCGGAUUCUCGGCCGCGCGGGCUCUCGGGCCCGCUGGCCGUGCAUCAACGGUGAACGCGGUGAUCCCGCGGCAAACGGUGUGGGUUUUCGGAAUCGUCUGCAGACGACUUAAGUACCGGGCUGGGUGUUGUACUCGGCAGAGCAGUUACCACGCUGCGAUCUGUUAAGACUGCCCUUUGCCUCGGGGGUUCGU
rnacentral:ncRNA from 1 species